rnacentral:antisense_RNA from 1 species
CGCUCGGCCCCGCGCCGGGCAGCUAUUUGGCACAUUUCAAUUAGCGUAACGGGUGCCUGGUAAACAGCCGAGGCCGGCUGCGGGCACCUGCAAUCCCCGACCCCCGACGCCCUCCCCGAGACCCUGGAGACGCGGCUCCGCCCCCACCGGUAAUUAGGAGAUUUUCAAGGCCGAUGUCCCCAAAGCCCAGCCCAGCUGGAGAGAUCAGCCCUGCGGUCCUGCCGCGCACUCCACCGCCAGCCUCUCGGGAGUCAAGGGAUCCGCCUUCGGGGUGAAUUGGGGUUCCACCAUGUCACCCUCAUGGAGCUUUCAUUAGCCUUGUUUGGGAUACAAAGGGGUAAGUGUCCCCUCAUUUUAGAGAAAGAUCAAGAGCCAGUGAACAGGAUUUCCCAGCCAGGGACAUGGAGCAGGGCACCUGCAGAUGGUCCACGUGCUCUUGGCUGAUGGCAGCCCACCUCCGGGAGGGGCCUGUGCACCUUUCUCCCAGGAGGAGGGAAGGACCCAAUCAUUAUCCAGAGUCAACGCAGGGACUUCCUUUGGGUGGCUUGGAGCAGACAGCACCCAGCUCUGCAGACCUGAGCACCCCAUGUGCCCCAAGUGACAUGGAGCA